GACGAACGCUGGCGGCGUGCUUAACACAUGCAAGUCGAACGGAAAGGCCCUGCUUUUGUGGGGUGCUCGAGUGGCGAACGGGUGAGUAACACGUGAGUAACCUGCCCUUGACUUUGGGAUAACUUCAGGAAACUGGGGCUAAUACCGGAUAGGAGCUCCUGCUGCAUGGUGGGGGUUGGAAAGUUUCGGCGGUUGGGGAUGGACUCGAGGCUUAUCAGCUUGUUGGUGGGGUAGUGGCUUACCAAGGCUUUGACGGGUAGCCGGCCUGAGAGGGUGACCGGCCACAUUGGGACUGAGAUACGGCCCAGACUCCUACGGGAGGCAGCAGUGGGGAAUAUUGCACAAUGGGCGGAAGCCUGAUGCAGCAACGCCGCGUGCGGGAUGACGGCCUUCGGGUUGUAAACCGCUUUCGCCUGUGACGAAGCGUGAGUGACGGUAAUGGGUAAAGAAGCACCGGCUAACUACGUG
rnacentral:rRNA from 1 species